rnacentral:rRNA from 1 species
GCCCUUCGCAAAUUACCCACUCUCAGAAUGAGGAGGUAGUGACGAGAAAUAACGAGACCGUUCUCUACGAGGCCGGUCAUCGGAAUGGGUACAAUUUAAACCCUUUAACGAGUAUCUAUGAGAGGGCAAGUCUGGUGCCAGCAGCCGCGGUAAUUCCAGCUCUCAAAAUGCAUAGAAUUAUUGCUGCGGUUAAAAAGCUCGUAGUUGGAUCUGUGCCGGUGGACCCGGUCCACUUUCGGGUGCGUACUGGGCUCCUCGGCUUUCUGCCGGUUUUCCCGUCGUGGCCUUAACUGGUUGCGGCGGGUGGCUGGCGAUUUUACUUUGAACAAAUCAGAGUGCUUAAAACAGGCGUUUCGCUUGAAUGUUCGUGCAUGGAAUAAUAGAAAAGGAUUUCGGUUCUAUUUUAUUGGUUUUAUAGACUGAGAUAAUGGUUAACAGAGACAAACGGGGGCAUUCGUAUUGCUGCUUGAGAGGUGAAAUUUUGGACCGCAGCAAGACGAACUACAGCGAAAGCAUUUGCCAAGAAUGUCUUUCAUUAAUCAAGAACCGAAAGUCAGAAGGUUCGAANGCGAUCAGAUACCCGCCCUUANUUUUUGACCCGUAAAACNAAUGCCAACUNNCCGAAUNCCCCCCGGUGGAUUCAUUGCCCCUGGUGGGGGAGCUUNCCCGGAAACAAAAAGUUUUUCCGGUUCCNGG